rnacentral:rRNA from 1 species
GAUGAACGCUGGCGGCGUGCCUAAUACAUGCAAGUCGAGCGAACAGACGAGGAGCUUGCUCCUCUGACGUUAGCGGCGGACGGGUGAGUAACACGUGGAUAACCUACCUAUAAGACUGGGAUAACUUCGGGAAACCGGAGCUAAUACCGGAUAAUAUAUUGAACCGCAUGGUUCAAUAGUGAAAGACGGUUUUGCUGUCACUUAUAGAUGGAUCCGCGCCGCAUUAGCUAGUUGGUAAGGUAACGGCUUACCAAGGCGACGAUGCGUAGCCGACCUGAGAGGGUGAUCGGCUACACUGGAACUGAGACACGGUCCAGACUCCUACGGGAGGCAGCGGUAGGGAAUCUUCCGCAAUGGGCGAAAGCCUGACGGAGCAACGCCGCGUGAGUGAUGAAGGUCUUCGGAUCGUAAAACUCUGUUAUUAGGGAAGAACAAAUGUGUAAGUAACUAUGCACGUCUUGACGGUACCUAAUCAGAAAGCCACGGCUAACUACGUG